GACUAGGACAGGACUUGGGACGAAGUAAGGGCUCCAAAAUAUAAGAACUUUUAUAGUGAUAACAUGUCCUUUAAGCCAGCUGUGGGUUGUAAACUCGUUGUGGACAAGGAGCGUGCCUACCAACUCUGUUAUAAUGUACUCUUCCAACUGCUUAGUAUAGUGCUUUGCACAUAGUAAACACUCGAUAAGUACGAUUGAUGGAUUGGUUAGAUCCUUGAAGAGUGAAUCUGUACCUCUCUUUCCCUUGAUUUCCAGAGCCCAGCACCUCGGGGCCAGGAGAAUCUGCCAGGAGUGAAGCAACCCAGCCUUGAAGGAGUCUCUCCCGAAGUUGGGUCAGCUCAUGUCUCUAUUUGUUGCUGAACUGUACUUUCCAAGUGUUUAGUACAGUGCUCUGUACACAGUAAGUGCUCAAUAAAUUUGACUGGAUGAAUGAAUGACUACUUCCGUCCACCCCAAGCACUCGCCCUGUGCCAGGGGAACAGGAAAACAUUUGGACUGAGAGGAGGCUGGCCGGGGACGUCUAGCCCCAGGUAUGGGACCCUGGGCGGCACGGCUCGAAUUUACAAUCGGAUAAGACCUGGCCAACUAUACACACCUGAGUUAAAUGUAAUUUGUAAUGUGGUUUCUAAAAAAAAGCAGCCGGAAAAGAUCUGAUGUCAUUGGUCCUGGAUGCAGGUAAUCGGAGGGCUAGGACUUCUGAAAAGACUAUAUUCCCCCGUCUCCAGAGCUAAGGAGCCCAGCACUCUGCCCACAUUACUGCAACGGACUUUCUUCACAAAGGAAAAAUCGUUCCCUGGGCCUUGAAGUUGUUUCCUCUCUGUUUUCCCCUUCUGACUGGAGCACUGCUUCAUAGGAACUACUAAAGUGGUGGACUUUGGCAAUGGUCUGGGUGGGAGGGGGAGUUUGGACACAGACGUGACUUCGAAGACAAUGCCGAGCUCCACUGCUGUGUCAGACUGUGUGUGGGUGGCGGGGAGGGGGUGUUGAGUGAGAUUGUAGUGCAAGGGAAAGAGGGAGACGGGGUGAUAAUUGCCUUGGAUGGCCCGGGACAGCCAAACUGUGCAUUUUGAGGCAACCAAACUCGGUGAGAGCACGCCACAGAGCCCUGCGUAAUUCCUAUUCUCUUCGAUUUCCUCUCAGGGAGCCUGUCCAUAGGCCGCCUAGUUAAUGGUUUGCUGCCAAUACCAUAAAAAUGCUAACCUGUCUUUACAUCUAAUCCAUUCUGAAAUGGCUCCUUACAUAAAUAGCCUCUUCUGUUUCUUCAUUAAAAAAAAGCAAUCAAAUAAGAUUGAAUGGAACAAGCUGUUGCUGUGGCCUUCUUUUUAAUACAAUAAUGAAUUCUGAGACCACAUUUUGCGUUGUUGUCCUUGAG
rnacentral:lncRNA from 1 species